rnacentral:rRNA from 1 species
UGUGAUGGGGAGCGAAAUUUAGUAGCGAAGUAGCUGAUUUCACACUGUCAAGAAAAGUCUCUAUCGAGGUUAAAGGUACCCGUACCGCAAACCGACACAGGUGGGUGAGGAGAGUAUCCUAAGGCCAGCGAGAGAACUGUUGUUAAGGAACUCGGCAAAAUGACCCCGUAACGUAGGGAUAAGGGGUGCCACCAUCAGGUGGCCGCAGAGAAUAGGCCCAAGCGACUGUUUACCAAAAACAUAGGUUUCUGCUAAGUCGCAAGACGAUGUAUAGGAGCUGACGCCUGCCCGGUGCUGGAAGGUUAAGGGGAUCUGUUAGAGCAAUCGAAGCAGUGAACUUAAGCCCCAGUAAACGGCGGCCGUAACUAUAACGGUCCUAAGGUAGCGAAAUUCCUUGUCGGGUAAGUUCCGACCCG